ensembl:lncRNA
CACAGCAGCUCCCUGACAAGAGGAUUAAAGCUGGAAGCUUUCAGAAAAGUCUCAAAAAUAAUUUAAAAUGCAAUAUGUUAUUGCCUCUCUAGAGGUUUGUAUACCUGCUUGAAAAAUCAUAACUCUCUCCUGCCACGCCCUAUCUGCAAUCCCGUCACUGGCAUGGUUUAUUGAAAUCAUGAAAAAAGAGUGAUCCGAGCCAUAAAUUAGGACCAGAAACCAAACUGGGCAGAUGAGGCUUUCCGAGUCAUAAGCCAAAAUGCAACGUGGGGCCACCAGUCUGGAGAUUUCCGAGGCAGCAAGUGGUAUUCUUUUGGAGCAUGCAUCCUUAGCAGGUUUCCCUGACAUAUGAUAGAAAAGAGACUAGAAGGUAGUUCCUCUGCCAAGUCAGCCUGCAGUAGAAUCACCUGGAGAGUGUGUAAAAACCCAGAGUGCCAGGCCUCACUCCUUGGAUUUUCGAUUCAGCAGGUCGAGGUUGGGCUUGAGAAUCUGCAUUCCUGAGAGUUCCCAGGAGAUGCUGACACUGCUCGUCUGAGAACCACACUUUGAGAUCCUCUGGGCUAGAACCGCUGCCCUGCUAGGUCGCUGCUGAGGUGGAGCUUAAUUACAAAGAGGAAGAUAGGAUGCAAGGUGGAAUUUUAAAAAUCCCUUCUCAGGUGCAGCAGGCAGGAUGGCAAAUAAAAGCGCACAGAUGUGAGGGUCCCGUUGUCAUAGCACUGGCUUUGAGCGGUCCCUUUAACGGGAGGUGAGCAGUACACUCCUGGUCCUUUAGUCCCCUCUAAAAAAGAUAAUGCCUGUCUGCUGCGCAAAAGCAAACACCAGGAGGCUUAAAAACCUGGGGUCUCUGUGCUCGUGCUCGUUCCUCAAGCAGGAGAAAAUAUCUUUAUGUAGCGAAAGUGCAGGGUAAAUAGAAAGUCGGGCUCGAUUUCCACCAGCUCGAGUCAAAGAAUCUGCUGAGAAGGCCACAUGACACACGAAAUGAAAUCCAGGUCCUUGAUACCCGGAGGCAGGAAAGGCAACGGAAAAUCCAAGAAAAUCCAAACGUUCCUGAAUUUCUACAGUAAACAGUUCUGGUCGGAUUCUCGUGCUAUUUUGGAACAUCCAUGAAGUUCAUUAACUGGCAUACAUUAAACAGGGAAAAGUUUGGAGGGAAAAAAAACGGUGCUGGAGGACAAAUCAGUAAUUGCUCCUUUAGAGCAAAGCAAAGUUACCAAGAAAAUCUCCUAUAAAGGCUCUGUCAAAACAAGUCACUUAAGGAUUAGUGAGAGCUAAAUCCUCCGUCAGAGAGAUUUUUCUCAACAGUCGUAAAUGGGUUUUAGUAUCGGAAAAUCUUAGAAAAUACACUUCUCCUGCCCCCACUCUCCUCUCACAACAGCUUUUUCAAUAGCUGGGCAUCUUUGUGGAAGCACAGUGUUUCCUUCGGAUGAGGGAUCUUCUUGAAAAUCAAAUCAACUCUGUCAUGCACAGCAAAGUCAGGGGCUGGAAAUAAAUUGUCAUAGGCACCAUAUUUCAGAGGCUUGCCCAUAGAACACACAUGUUCAAAUACAGUCCUUUCGUCUCUUGGCAAUCUCCCGGAGAAGAAUUAAUACAGGGCUGUGAUAUGCUGCUAAUGCCCUUACUUCAUGUUUUUUUCUUUUUCCAUUUUGGAUUCUUUCCUUAAGGUGGGUUUUUUUUGUUUUUGUUUUUGGAGGUUUUUUUUUUUUUUUAGGGCCACACCAGUGGCAUACGGAAGUUCCCAGGUUAUGGUCGAAUCAGAGUUGCUGCGGCUGCCAGGCAAUGCCACAGCCACAGCAACACCAGAUCCAAGCCAUGUCUAUGACCUACACCACCGCUCAUGGCAACACCGGAUUCUUAGCCCCCUGAGGGAGUCCAGAGAUGGUACCCGCAUCCUCAUGGAUCCUAGUCAGGUUUGUUGCGGCUGAGCCACGACAGGAAUUCACUUUCCUUAAGGUUUAACUGCUUGAUUUGUUCAUUUGGUAAGGGCAAGUGCUUAAAUUUAAAUGUCACCCUCAAACAUGGGUAGCUGAUUCUUUUUUUUAAUUAGAAAGAGGCAAACACUGGUCA